UACAGAGGGUGCGAGCGUUGUCCGGAAUCACUGGGCGUAAAGGGCGCGUAGGCGGCUUGGUAAGUCGGGGGUGAAAGUCAGCGGCUCAACCGCUGGACUGCCUUCGAGACUGCCUGGCUUGAGCAUGGUAGAGGCUGGCGGAAUUCCCGGUGUGAGCGGUGGAAUGCGUAGAGAUCGGGAAGAACAUCGGUGGCGAAGGCGGCCAGCUGGGCCAU
rnacentral:rRNA from 1 species